CUUCCUGGUGGCGAGCGGCGGACGGGUGAGUAAUGCAUAGGAAUCUGCCCGAUAGUGGGGGAUAACCUGGGGAAACCCAGGCUAAUACCGCAUACGUCCUACGGGAGAAAGCAGGGGCUCUUCGGACCUUGCGCUAUCGGAUGAGCCUAUGUCGGAUUAGCUAGUUGGUGAGGUAAUGGCUCACCAAGGCGACGAUCCGUAGCUGGUCUGAGAGGAUGAUCAGCCACAUCGGGACUGAGACACGGCCCGAACUCCUACGGGAGGCAGCAGUGGGGAAUAUUGGACAAUGGGCGCAAGCCUGAUCCAGCCAUGCCGCGUGUGUGAAGAAGGCCUUCGGGUUGUAAAGCACUUUCAGUGAGGAAGAACGCCUUGGGCCUAAUACGUCCAAGGGAAGACAUCACUCACAGAAGAAGCACCGGCUAACUCCGUGCCAGCAGCCGCGGUAAUACGGAGGGUGCGAGCGUUAAUCGGAAUUACUGGGCGUAAAGCGCGCGUAGGUGGCUUGAUAAGCCGGUUGUGAAAGCCCCGGGCUCAACCUGGGAACGGCAUCCGGAACUGUCAGGCUAGAGUGCAGGAGAGGAAGGUAGAAUUCCCGGUGU
rnacentral:rRNA from 1 species